rnacentral:rRNA from 1 species
GGCAUCGAUGAAGAACGCAGCGAAAUGCGAUAAGUAAUGUGAAUUGCAGAAUUCAGUGAAUCAUCGAAUCUUUGAACGCACAUUGCGCCCCUUGGUAUUCCGAGGGGCAUGCCUGUUCGAGCGUCAUUUCAAACCUCAAGCUUCUGCUUGGUAUUGAGCGGCUCGCC